UUCACAAAGAGAUGCUGCAUUAGAAUAUGAAACUGUCAUUAUAAUCUGAAACUUGCUAUUACAAUAUGAAACUAGUCCAUGAGAGGACUGGAGGGGGUGGAGAGACAACGAGGUGAUGUCUCAUCAUCAAACUUUGAUACUAUGAAAUGAAACUAGUCCAUGAGAGGACAAAGGAGGUAGAGAGACAACGAGGUGAUGUCUCAUAAUCUCUUUUAAUUUAUUUCUUUGAGAUACAUAUACACACCUAACGCCACUUCAAAUAUUCUACAAGUUUCAUCAUGGUCAAUCAAACACCGGUAAUUGCAUAACCAGCUUCUUGACUUCUAAGGACUCACAUCUUU
rnacentral:lncRNA from 1 species